rnacentral:rRNA from 1 species
GAUGAACGCUGGCGGCGUGCUUAACACAUGCAAGUCGAACGGAAAGGCCAGUGCUUGCGCUGGUACUCGAGUGGCGAACGGGUGAGUAACACGUGGGUGAUCUGCCCUGCACUUCGGGAUAAGCUUGGGAAACUGGGUCUAAUACCGGAUAGGACCAUUGGUUGGUGCCUUUGGUGGAAAGUUUUUUCGGUGUGGGAUGAGCUCGCGGCCUAUCAGCUUGUUGGUGGGGUAAUGGCCUACCAAGGCGUCGACGGGUAGCCGGCCUGAGAGGGUGUACGGCCACAUUGGGACUGAGAUACGGCCCAGACUCCUACGGGAGGCAGCAGUGGGGAAUAUUGCACAAUGGGCGCAAGCCUGAUGCAGCGACGCCGCGUGGGGGAUGACGGCCUC